CAGGCCGCCAGUGCCCUCAUAAAGGCUCACACUCACCAGGUGACGGCCAUGCAGAGCCGGGCUGAUGCAGUGUCCAGUGAGACCCAAGACGAGCUCUAAGUGAGUCGGCUGCUUCACAAGUCGGCAGCAGAAUCCAGGUGUCUGGUCACGGAUGGGGCAGAGGAGAACGUCGUGAACGCCUGGCAGGGUGAGAGCACUGUGCAGCUGGCUGCACACUGGGCUGGGGCAGCCCCAGCCAUCCUCGACCCCACGAGUCUGGACAGGCGGACGUGCAGAGGUGGCGGCUGCGCUGCCCGAGGCAGGGGCCGCCGAGUGACCGGAGGACGACGCCCCUGGACUACGCAAGACAGAGCGACAAGCGGGAUCUCGUUAAUAUGCUAAUAUAUUACCGUCUUACCUUAUUAAAGGAAAUAAGAUUCAGUUCACCAUUUAUCCUAACUUUUAAAAUAAAGACAAUAAAAACUUAA